CAGAUUAUCCUGAACAUGCCUGUUCUCAUUUGCUUUCUGAAGCUAAGCAGGGACAGGUCCCCAGUUAGUCCUUGGACGGGUGAUCAUUGGGAACUACCAGGGAAACAUUCUGC
rnacentral:rRNA from 1 species